rfam:Triticum urartu cultivar G1812 contig100553, whole genome shotgun sequence.
CAGAAUUGUCCUAAGUCAAACCUCUUCAAAUUGGACCAAGCUAUAGAAAGAAUGCUAAUAUCCACAAUGUCUAAUAUAUAUAAUAUGACAAUAUAUUUCAUAAUGAAUCUAAUGAAGCAAAUUUGGUGUCGUAGAUGUUAAUAUAUUUUUAUAUAAACUUGGUCAAACUUAAUGAAGUUUGACUUAGGACAAACCCAU